rnacentral:lncRNA from 1 species
CUGAAGAGAAGAGUCCUCUGAAUUAUUUGUAAUUUCAACCUUUUGAUCAAUUCGGACUAUGUCCCCACAACAACUUUCAAACCUUUUUAGAACAUCCUCUUUUCUGUCUUCACCAUUGCUGCCUAGAUGCCUGCUGUUGUCAUUGCUUACCUGGAUGCCUUAGCUUCCUAACUGGUCGGUUCCCAACACCAAGUCUCCGUUCUGCCAACAAACUGACCUCCUGUAAUACAAAUCUGAUCAUGGCCUUCUACUGUUACAAAAUAUUCCACGAAUUCACGUUGUUUUCAGAAUAAAACUCCAG